GCAUGUCUAAGUUCACACCCUCGAACGGUGAAACCGCGAAUGGCUCAUUAAAUCAGUCGAGGUUCCUUAGAUGAUCCAUUUCUACUUGGAUAACUGUGGUAAUUCUAGAGCUAAUACAUGCCCAACAGCUCCGACCCCGGGCUUCGCGGUUCGGGGAAAGAGCGCUUUUAUUAGUUCAAAACCAGUCGGGGGUUUCGGCCCUCGUGCUUUGGUGACUCUGGAUAACUUUGAGCCGAUCGCAUGGCCUCGAGCCGGCGACGCAUCUUUCAAAUGUCUGCCCUAUCAAAUGACGACGGUACGUGAUCUGCCUACCGUGUUGACUACGGGUAGCGGGGAAUCAGGGUUCGAUUCCGGAGAGGGAGCAUGAGA
rnacentral:rRNA from 1 species